UAAGAUAAUAUUUAAGAUAUACCCUGCUCAAUGAUAUUAUUAAAUAGCUGCAGUAUAUUGACUGUACAAAGGUAGCAUAAUAGAUUGUUUUUUAAUUGAAGGCUAGAAUGAAUGGGUGAACGAAAUUAAAACUGUUUCUAAUGUAUAAAUAUAAAUUAAUAUAUUAGUGAAGAAGCUAUUAUUUUAUAAUAAGACAGAAAGACCCUUUAAGCUAUAUAUUAGUAUUAAUAUUAUUAUAAUAAUAUUUAAUUUUAAUUGGGGUGGUUAAGGAAUAUAUUUUACUUCCUUUAUUAAUAUGAUAAUUAAUCUAUAAAUGAUCUUUUAAUAGUAUAAGAUUAGUUACUAAAGGGAUAACAGAUUAAUUUUUUUGGAAAGUUCAUAUUGAUAAAAAAGAUUAAUACCUCGAUGUUGGCUUAAAAUUACCUUUAGAUGAAGAAGUUUAUUAGGUUGGUUUGUUCAACCAUUAAAAUUUUACGUGAUCUGAG
rnacentral:rRNA from 1 species